GGUCUUCUGAUUGUAAAGUUCUUUUAUUUAGGAAAAAAAGCGCGCUAGGAAAUGAGCGCGCCUUGAUGGUACUAAUUGAAU
rnacentral:rRNA from 1 species